AGGAAGAUAGAGUUGUACUGUGACCACGGUUACCUAGGAGUCUGUAUUUUUAGUUUAAUUUUUUAUUGAUCUAUAAAGUGGUGCACCAGAGCAGGCUAGUCCCAGGUAGUUAACUAUGCAUAAGCAGUUGCAAAGUUCGAUUUUGCUGUAUAAUAUUGAGCCACAUAUUCUUCACAGUAUAUUUUGCUCAUACCUACUGCAGACUUCCACAUGACAGCUGAAUUGCAAACUGUAAGUGACGGUAAAUGGCUGAAGACAGAAGACUUAUUAUAGAUUUUAUAUCCAGCCCAUGAGGAUUUUGACUGAUUCCAUUGAGCAAGCUCAGGUCAGCUAAGUCCUUUCCUUCAAAGCAUCAUGGGUGUCUCCGAGCAUCAUUGCAAGCUUGUCCUGGCAGUAAGCCAGGCUUCAAAAGCCUUUCACUGCAGUCACUGACUCACUAAUGGGCAACUGCAGGCUUUCUGAUUUUCCUUUCGUUUCAUGUGUUCAUUUGACAUAAAUUUAAUUAAACCAAAUCUGGUGUUAAAGCAAGACGUAAAACCUUUCAUAGAAUUCUUAUUUUUUCUUUCAUUCUCACACUUCAGGUAGUCACCUCUUCACAGGAUAUAAGACAAGUCUGCCCUUCUGCUGGCUACAUAGCUAUAGUUGUUAGACAGCUCAAAAGCACACAACAGCAGAAACAUGAAAAGAUCAUAUAUUAAAUAUAAAAAAAUCAUCAUUUUUCAAAGAUCUCUUUUGCUUUUUACUUAAGGCUAAAGAGGAGAUUGUGAGAGUGAAAAAGAGCACAUUGCUUAAAAAGCUCCAUUUAAUUGCUUUGAAUGUUGCUUUAGGAAACAUCCAAGUUUCUCCUUUUUUAAAAAAUCUCUUUUUGCCCAUUAAAAGAAGUCUUGGACUAGAAAUACACUACAUGAACUAAAAGCAGUUUUGCAAUCUUCUUCAAGAAUGCUCAGACUGAUCCUCUUCCUUUCUGCAGCUGAAAUGCUGCCACUUCCUAGGACCACACUCUAAGUCGCUGGAUGUAAAAUGAUUACUCUGAGCACAUACACACCAACCAGUAAGUGAUUGCAGUGUCCUGUGGAUAAGAAUCAGAAAAACCAAAAGAACUGAGCUGGCGAGUUAUGCAGUAGAAGGGAGAUUCCUCGAAGCAUGAAACAAUGUGUGUCAUAUUGACCCUCCACCUUUGUUGCACCCCAUCUUUUGAUGGCCAACUUCUUCUCUUGCAAACAGAACUCAGGUGCCUUCUUCAUACUCCCCUGACUUGAUUCGACUUUCUGUAGAAUCCAUUAGGGCUAAAACUCUCAGGGUUUACAAUAAUCAAAUGCAUCUGUGACUUCUUUCAUUUAACAGGUGAAAAACGGAAGGGCCAAGACAAAUUAAGUGACUUGUCCAGGAUCACACAACCAGUUAUUAGCUCUACUGAGAAAAAAAUACACAUCUCUUGACGCCCAGAUGAGUGUUUUGUUUUCGUUAUUUAGCAUUUCGAGUGCUUCUGUACAACAUACCAUUUGUAUUCUUUGAAACAAACUCUUCGGAUAUUUCCAGGUGUUUUUCACAUUUCUGACCUGAGAGAAAGUAUACCUAAUGGUAUAAGUAGACUUAAAAUCUAUUUAAAAUUCUCAAAAGUUUCUAAUUCUGUUCUUUUAGUAACUACUUAAAAAUGUUAAUUGUCUGUCAGUCCUUUGGUUUGGAGAACUGCUUAUGGGACCACUUUUAGGUUAUGAUAGGGAGAAGACAUUACACAUGAAAGCCAUCCGGCUGUCUAAUAUUACAGAAUAAGCCUACAUUUCACCAGCAUCCGCUCAGAGUGAUAGCCCUGAAUACAAUGGGUAUUUAAUGUUCCUUAAGAAAUUUCACUUGAAAUGUUACUCUGAAUCCAAAUUAUCAUCAAAAUGGAAAAGAUAGAGAUUGUUAUAUUUCCUGUUAGACAUAGAGCCUUAAAUAAACCUUCUGAUUCUUUUAUGCAUAAACCUAAAUUUACUUACAGAGUUAUUACUUACUUUUUAUACCUAAUUAUGUCUAUCCGUAUACACAUUUCUAAUAUAGACUCAGGUUUUAAUGAAGACUGUUUUAAAAUGCUUAAUGAGACUGUCAAGGUUCACAUUGAUAGCCUGUGUUAACAUGGCUUUAUCAGUGUUUGUUCAAUCUACCGAGUUUAUUUAUUCAGCAAAUAUUUAUCAAAAAAGAACUCUGUGCAAUUCACUGCAUACACACAGAAAAAUGCUGAGCCAACCACUGAGCACUUAAUAAUCACUCUACAUAGCAAAGAUGCCAUGCAUUUCUUAAGGUAAAUAUUAUGCCUUUGAGUAAUUUUACAAUGUUAAACUUGACAUAUUAUCAAAUUUUUAUAAUAUUGAAAUUCUAGAAUUCCUUAAGUAUUUUAUUUUAGUAAAGGUGAAAUUGCUGGCGACACACCUCAAAGGUAAAAGUUUUAUAAGGUACUAGAUGAUCUAACCAUACUACGUAAUUGAAUUGAUUGAUCGGUAUGUAAUUUAGAAUGUUUACAAAGCUUGCCACUCUGAACAGCUGAUAGGUAAAUAAACUAUUUAAAAUCACAAAUAUAUGUAAAGUCCUUCAGUGUUUACCAUAGUGGCAAAAAUAAAACGUCAUUUUUUUUUGAGACAGGGUCUCACUACAUUGCCCAGGAUGGAGCGCAGUGGCUAGUUAAAGGCAUGAUUGUAGUGUGAUACAGUCUUGAAUUUGUGGGUUCAAGUGAUCCUCCUGCCUCAGCCUCCCAAGUAGCUGGAACUACAGGUGCAUGCCACUGCGUCCAGCUAAAUGUCAGUUAUAUAUAGUAAUACGAUGACAAUACAAAAAUUUUCAUUCCUUAAUUUGUUGCAAAUCUGUAGAAUUAAACAUUUUUGUUAACAAAACUAGAAUACGAUUUUAAAAUAGCAUGCUUAAUUACCACUUCCAUUUCAGGAAAAAAAAUAUUAUGCAAUCUUCCUGUUUUUAGAAAAGCAGGUAAAACAUAACUUUGCCUUGGUAACAAGCACAUGAAUCCUUGUUACAGAACAGAAUCUUCCUAAAGCAGAAUGACUCCCAAGGUACAGGGAAUCCUGAGUGUGUUUUCCAGGAAAUUUUUUUUUCAAGUUUCUCAACAGUAAUAAAAGACUUCUGACAAACUGGUAUCAAAGAUUUCUUUGAGCAAAUAUGAGAAACUGUCAGCUUGCCACUUCUUAAUAGCAAUAAGAAGCAAAUUAUUUAUAAAAACUGAUGUGUGAAAAAAUUAGAGUUCAGAGAAACAAGAAAGAAUUUCCAAAGUAAUCUUUAGAAAUCAGGUUUUUAGAAAGUUCCCUCUGAUAUUUAAGCAUAUUACAGGGUAUGAAGUAUCUCCAAUAGUCAGCAUUAGGUUUAAUGUCCAAACAACUGUCAUCAGGUAACUAGUUCUUGAAAAUAAAUAAGAAGUGUAGCCUGAGGCUUGGCAGAGUCUAUUCCUCUGUUGUUAAGAAUUUAGAUAAUAUCUAAGGCUUGGUGCCUCACAUCUUUAACUUCCUCAGGGUGAGAUUAUGGUGGAGAAUACUCAAUACAGAACAUUAAAGGAAAAGUAAUUUUUUUUAGAACAACCAUUGUUUGGUAAAUAUGGGUGAGUGAUGGUCUUUAUAAGCCUCUAUGGCCUCCCACGCUUGUAUCUUAUUUGGUAUCAUAUUAGAUAAAAUCAAUCCUUCCCACAGAAUGUCUUCUAGGUCAUGCAGCCUAAGACUUCCUUCUUCUCCCCUCCUGCUCCUCCUUUUUCUCCUCCUUCUUUUAAGAAAACCACAGUAAGAAUAAAAAGAGUUCUGCCGGGUGCGGUGGCUCA
rnacentral:lncRNA from 1 species